UACGUAGGGUGCGAGCGUUAAUCGGAAUUACUGGGCGUAAAGCGUGCGCAGGCGGUUAUUUAAGUCAGGUGUGAAAGCCCUGGGCUUAACCUAGGAAUUGCGCUUGAGACUGGAUAGCUUGGAGUGCGGCAGAGGGAGGUGGAAUUCCACGUGUAGCAGUGAAAUGCGUAGAGAUGUGGAGGAACACCAGUGGCGAAGGCGGCUCACUGGCCCGAUACUGACGCUGAGGCACGAAAGCGUGGGGAGCAAACAGG
rnacentral:rRNA from 1 species